rnacentral:rRNA from 1 species
GACGAACGCUGGCGGCGUGCUUAACACAUGCAAGUCGAACGGAAAGGCCCUGCUUUUGUGGGGUGCUCGAGUGGCGAACGGGUGAGUAACACGUGAGUAACCUGCCCUUGACUUUGGGAUAACUUCAGGAAACUGGGGCUAAUACCGGAUAGGAGCUCCUGCUGCAUGGUGGGGGUUGGAAAGUUUCGGCGGUUGGGGAUGGACUCGCGGCUUAUCAGCUUGUUGGUGGGGUAGUGGCUUACCAAGGCUUUGACGGGUAGCCGGCCUGAGAGGGUGACCGGAGAAAGUGGGAGUGAGAGAAGGGGCAGAGGCGGACGGGGGGCGGCAGCGGGGGAGAGGGCAGAAGGGGCGGAGGUCUGAUACGGCAACGACGGGUGCGGGAGGGGGGCCGUCGGGUAGUGAAAAGGGUUCGCCUGUGAAGAAGCGGGAGUGAGGGGAGUGGAUAGAGAAGCAGCGGAUAACUACAAA